GCUAACAAAGAAAUAAAAAUAGUGGAAGGUUAAACAUUAUGACAAAUGAAAAUAAGAUUCUUCACUUGUAUCCUUAUUAUUAAAUCUGGUGAAAAGAUCAAUUAAGCUAAAGGUCAAAUACUAGACAUGUAAUAAUCAUUGGUAUGAUUUUGAAAUGAUUAUUUGCAACUCAUAAGUGUGCAAAGAGCUGGUAAAUUGAGUACAAGGGAAUUUACCCUAUAAAGUGAUUAUUUUAUUUUAUUUUAUUUAUUUGCUACAUGAAGAGGUGUGGUGAACAUAUGACACACAUUAUCAAGUUUUUUAAGGCUAUUAUUCUCUUUCUUUUCAUAUUUCUUAUUGCAACCAAUGCUGCAUAUAUUAAAAAUUGUAAGGAUUCCAUGGGCUGUUUGGGUUAUUGUUUCUUUCCUUCAUAUGGGUUAUGCAUCAAGGAUAUAUGUAGAUGUGUAUUCUAACAGCUAAUUUAUAACAUAAUUGUAUGUUAUUUCUAAACUUACAAUAAUUUUAUGAGAUGUUGGCUCAAAACAUAUCACCAUUAACAUAAUUAUAAUUUUAUUUGGACGUCGCAAUGCUUGUUACUUGUAUGAUUACUCUCACGUACUCCCUUCUGCUCAAAAUAAUUGGCAUUUUUGCAAAAAAAUAUUAUCAUCUCAAAAUAAAUGAUCUUGUCAUUAAUUACUUUUAUCCUACUCUCCUUGUUUAAUUAAUAGGAACCCUAAUUAAUAUACUCACUUCACUCUUAAUUCAACAAUUCAAAUUCUAUUAGGACAAAAUUCAAUAUGAGUAACCAAUCAUUAGUUGGUUUGGUGGUAAUUGGUGCUGAACUUAGUAGAGAAGAUCAUAGUUCGAUCUCCUGCAACUGCGAUCGGGAGGGGGCUGAAACCACUUGAUGCCUGAAUAUAUUGACCCUCGAACCAGAUUAAACUGGUGGUGAAAGAAGAAAAAAAAGACAAAAAUCAAUAUGAGUAGUAAUUGUGCAUAUAAGUGUUUUAUAAAUAAGAGCAUCCACAAUGGAGGUACUUAUUUUUUGGUACUUAACUUUUUUUUAUAAGUAAUAUUAGUUGUUAGUAUUACAAUGUUAUGUUAAUUGUAUAGAGGUCUGGGGGUUAGGCAGUUAAGAGAGUUUAACUUGACACUUUUAGGCAAAUGGUGUUGGAGGAUGCUAGUGGAUCGAGAGGAAAUGUGGUUUAGAGUGUUGGCAGCUCGAUCGGUAUGGGAUGGAGGGAGAGAGGCGAGGGUCUUUGUGGUGGCGAGAGAUAGCGAGUAUUAGGGAGGGUGGUGGAGCGGUAUAGGGGGCAGAUGGAUUGGGGAUCAUGUUGUCAGGAGAGUGGGAAACGGGGCCGAUACUUUUUUCUGGACAGAUCCAUGGUUGGAUGGAGUACCUCUAUGUGAGGGGUUUGGGCGCUUGUUUGUUUUGGGCGCCGAGACAAAACCGCGUACGGUGGUUGAGAUGUUCUCUUUAGAGUGGGGGACGGAGGGGACGACCUGGGUGUGGCAGAGGCAGUUGAGGGCGUGUCAGUCUUUACUUUCUAACUUUUCUUUUCAGGCACAGUCUUCAGAUAGGUGGCAGUGGCAGCCAGACCCCGAUACAAGCUACAUUGUAAGGGGCACAUAUCACCUCUUGACUACUCUUGACUCGAUUACUCUGGACGAGGCGGAUCACCUCAUUUGGCACCCUCAGGUUCCCUUGAAGGUCUCAAUUUUUGCGUCGCGUUUAUUGUGUGAUGAUGACAAUCAAUUAUAUGAUGUUUUUAGUACUAUUUUAGAGUAGUUUCCGUAGCAAUUGAAGACCAAAUGCAAGCAAAAACCUAAAGAUACGAAGUUACUUGCCCAAGAAUCAAGAAACGUGGAAAAUGCAUAAAGAAGGGCAAAAAAAUGAAGAAAUUGAAGAAUCUAUCGCACCACGAUGGAUGACCAUCGUAGAACGAUGAAAAAAUACCACAUCGUACCAAAAACACCAUAACUUGAGAUAUGAUUGUCGGAUCGAGGUCCGUGACCAUGCGUUGGAAAGCUAAGACAAAGAGAUACAACUUUCAUGUUGAAGAAAAAAUCAAAUUAUGGACGCUAUCAUGGCUACGAUGGAUUACAUCGUGGCCACGAUGAGAAGAACAAACUGCGCAACAAACUUGAUUCCAUCGUACCAACGAUGAGAUUGAUCGCAACACGAUGAAAGGCGGUUUAACAACAAAGAAUAUCUGAAUCAAAUAUUUCAUCGUGCCAUGAUAAGAUCCAUCGUGGCCACGUUGAGGUGAAUUUGAACGCCAUCGUGGCUACGAUGGAUACGAUGGGUCGAAGGAAAAAGCCCAAAUCCAUCUAAAAAACUAUAAAUAGAGUCCUCCUCCUUCACAAUUAUUCAUUCAGAGGUUCAGAGAACUAUAAGCUCUCUAAGGAGCAAAGGAGGAGGAGCAAGGAGGGCCAAGGAGCUCUCAAGAGAGGGAGACUCUCCCCCACCAUUAGGAGGCGAACAUCCUCCGCAAGGAAUCAAGAGCCACCAUCACGUGACAGGUUACCCACUGAGUCAAACCUAGUCACCCGAGGCAUAUUAUCUCCCUAGGCUCAUUUUUUCGUAGCUGAAUGUGGGAUGGCAGAUUCAGCUCAUUACAUAUUCAUCUCUUGCAGCACUUUUGGUUCUCUUUGGGCUUUAGUUCACACUUGGAUUGACAUUUCACCGACGGGUUUCACUUCUAUCUGAGAUCACUUUGUUCAGUUUGCUCUCUCAGCUGGUGGAUCUAGAGCACACCGGUCUCAUUUGGCUUGCUAGCGUAUGGAUUGUGUGGACGAAAAGAAAUCACAGGUUGUUCAGAGGCUCAGAUAGUACUCUCACGUGUACACAUUAUUUAUUUAUAAUUUUUUAAUAAUACUAGUUUAAAGACCCUUGCAUUCGCACGGGUCUAUUGAGUUUU